rnacentral:tRNA from 1 species
UGGCUCAGUGGUUAAAGCAGUUGGCUAUUAACCAAAAGGUUGGCGGUUCAAACCCACC